AAAACUUUUAACAACGGAUCUCUUGGUCCUGGCAUCGAUGAAGAACGCAGCGAAAUGCGAUAAGUAAUGUGAAUUGCAGAAUUCAGUGAAUCAUCGAAUCUUUGAACGCACAUUGCGCCCCCUGGUAUUCCGGGGGGCAUGCCUGUUCGAGCGUCAUU
rnacentral:rRNA from 1 species